CCUACGGGUGGCACCAGUGGGGAAUAUUGGACAAUGGGCGAAAGCCUGAUCCAGCAAUGCCGCGUGUGUGAAGAAGGUCUUCGGAUUGUAAAGCACUUUCGACGGGGACGAUGAUGGCGGUACCCGUAGAAGAAGCCCCCGCUAACUUCGUGCCAGCAGCCGCGGUAAUACGAAGGGGGCUAGCGUUGCCCGGAAUGACUGGGCGUAAAGGGCGCGUAGGCGGUUUAUGCAGUCAGGUGUGAAAUCCCCGGGCUUAACCUGGGAACUUCAUUUGAGACGCAUAGACUCGAAGUCGAGAGAGGGUUGUGGAAUUCCCAGUGUAGAGGUGAAAUUCGUAGAUAUUGGGAAGAACACCGGUGGCGAAGGCGGCAACCUGGCUCGAUACUGACGCUGAGGCGCGAAAGCGUGGGGAGCAAACAGGAUUAGAUACCCGUGUAGUC
rnacentral:rRNA from 1 species